UGGAUAACUAACGAAUUCAUGCAUUCUGGUCUGCGCACUGCAGGGAGCCAAGUGAUGUGGUCUGGUUUUUAUGUUAUGCGAUUGAAUUACUUGGAAAUGGGCAUUUCUACAUUUUUUUUCUGUUUAAUUUCGGUGGUGUUGUUUUGAGAUUUGAACUGUAGCUACUUUGUUGUGUUUUGAGUUCGUUUAUGAAUGUAUUAGAGUGGUAGCUUCGCUUCAUCUGAAAACCUGGUGGCAUUAUCACUUACCACACAUGUACUGCCCUCCUUCACGUCUAUAAAUACCUCUGAAUAUUACUUUCAAGUUCUUAUUGAAAGUUUUUUUUUUUUUUUUUUUUAACUUUGAAAUUGCUAUGGGUUGGUAACACAUACAACUUUGCUCAUACCAGGAAGUCUAUAGUUUUACCUCUUGUGUUCAAUUUUUCCAUCCCUAGUUUUAAUUGAUAUUAACCUGUAAUAAAACUAAUUGCUAGACAGCACUACAGAAUAUCAACAGUGAGUAAUCAGGCUAUUUUACAAUUUUUAUUGUUAAGCUUGGUUCCUUACUUAUAUCGAAUUGCAAUAUAUUUUGUCGCACUGUCAAGUAGUACUUCUCCCAUGCGUUUUUAUGGUGAAAAAAAAAAUGAGGUUCUUAUCAUGACCUAUAAUUAUCUGAUUCUAG
rnacentral:lncRNA from 1 species